UACGUAGGGUGCGAGCGUUAAUCGGAAUUACUGGGCGUAAAGGGUGCGCAGGCGGUUAUAUAAGACAGAUGUGAAAUCCCCCGGGCUCAACCUGGGAACUGCGUUUUGUGACUGUAUGACUAGAGUACGGUAGAGAGGGGUGGAAUUCCUGGUGUAGCAGUGAAAUGCGUAGAUAUCAGGAGGAACAUCGAUGGCGAAGGCAGCCCCCUUGGACCUGUACUGAC
rnacentral:rRNA from 1 species